rnacentral:rRNA from 1 species
UAAGCCGGAGGAAAAGAAACUAACCAGGAUUCCCCUAGUAACGGCGAGUGAACAGGGAUUAGCCCAGCACCGUAAGCCUGCGUCCAUUUGGGUGUUUGGCAAUGUGGUGUUUAGGUCUGCACUUUCGUGUACUGCUUUGUUCCAAGUCCAAACUUGAAUAUGGCUUAUGUAUGGCCCAGAGAGGGUGAAAGGCCCGUAUGGACGGAGCGGUUCUCGACCGUGUAGACUGUGGAGUCGGGUUGUUUGAGAAUGCAGCCCAAAGUUGGUGGUAAACUCCAUCUAAGGCUAAAUACUGGCACGAGUCCGAUAGCGAACAAGUACCGUGA